rnacentral:tRNA from 1 species
GCUUUCGUGGUGUAGUGAUCAGCACGGCGCGUAUUCGAGAGAUCCGUGGUUCGAGUCCCGGCGAGGGCA